GUCCUAGCCGUAAACGGUGCAUAUUUGCUGUAAAAGGAAUCGACCCCUUUUUGUGGCGUAGCCAACGCGUUAAAUAUGCCGCCUGGGAAGUACGGUCGCAAGAUUAAAACUCAAAGAAAUUGACGGGGGCCUGCACAAGCGGUGGAGUAUGUGGCUUAAUUCGAUGCAACGCGAAGAACCUUACCUGGCCUUGACAUGUAUGUAGUAGAAGGAUGAAAGUCUGACGAGGUAGCAAUACCAGCAUACACAGGUGCUGCAUGGCUGUCGU
rnacentral:rRNA from 1 species